UGGGUAACGUGCCCCAAUGACCGGGACAACCCGAGGAAACUCGGGCUAAUACCGGAUGUGCUGCAGAGUCGUAAGUCUCUGCAACAAAGGAAGCUUCGGCCUCCGCAUUGGGAGCGGCCCGCGGCCCAUUAGCUUGUUGGUGAGGUAACGGCUCACCAAGGCUGCGAUGGGGUAGCUGGCCUGAGAGGGUAACCGGCCACACUGGGACUGAGACACGGCCCAGACUCCUACGGGAGGNAG
rnacentral:rRNA from 1 species